rnacentral:rRNA from 1 species
UACGGAGGAUGCAAGCGUUAUCCGGAAUGAUUGGGCGUAAAGCGUCCGCAGGUGGCUAUGUAAGUCUGCUGUUAAAGAGUCUAGCUCAACUAGAUACAAGCAGCGGAAACUACAAGGCUAGAGUACGUUCGGGGCAGAGGGAAUUCCUGGUGUAGCGGUGAAAUGCGUAGAGAUCAGGAAGAACACCGGUGGCGAAGGCGCUCUGCUAGGCCGUAACUGACACUGAGGGACGAAAGCUAGGGGAGCGAAUGGG